CCUACGGGGGGCAGCAGUGGGGAAUAUUGCACAAUGGGGGGAACCCUGAUGCAGCGACGCCGCGUGAGGGAAGAAGGUUUUUGGAUUGUAAACCUCUGUCCUUGGUAAAGAAGCAAGACGGUAGCCAAGGAGGAAGCCACGGCUAACUACGUGCCAGCAGCCGCGGUAAUACGUAGGUGGCAAGCGUUGUCCGGAAUUACUGGGUGUAAAGGGAGCGUAGGCGGUUAUGCAAGUUGAAUGUGAAAUCUAUCGGCUCAACUGAUAGGCUGCGUUCAAAACUGUAUAUCUUGAGUGAAGUAGAGGCA
rnacentral:rRNA from 1 species